ACAUGGAUGAGCCACAGACACUCACCUUACUGAAGCCAGUGCUUGGGGUCCUGAGAGUGCGUCCACAGAACUGGCAAGACUGUGUGGCGUGGGCUCUUGGCCACUGGAAACUCUGCUUUCAUUAUGGCAUCAAACAGCUGCUGAGGCACUUCCCACCUAAUAAAGUGUGUGGCUAGGGGUUGGGACGCUGGGGGCUCAGGGGGACCAGACUGAGCCCAGCAGCUUCUACUUACCUACCUAGGUGCUUGAGGAUGGAACUCCCUUCUGGUCAGGUCCCAAACAGUGUCCCCAGCCCUUGGAGUUUGACACCAACCAAGACACACACCUCCUCUACGUACUGGCAGCUGCCAACCUGUAUGCCCAGAUGCAUGGGCUGCCUGGCUCACAGGACUGGACUGCACUCAGGAAGCUGCUGAAGCUGCUGCCACAGCCUGACCCCCAACAGAUGGCCCCCAUCUUUGCUAGUAAUCUAGAGCUGGCUUCGGCUUCUGCUGAGUUUGGCCCUGAGCAGCAGAAGGAACUGAACAAAGCCCUGGAAGUCUGGAGUGUGGGCCCUCCCCUGAAGCCUCUGAUGUUUGAGAAGGAUGAUGACAGCAACUUCCAUGUGGACUUUGUGGUAGCGGCAGCUAGCCUGAGAUGUCAGAACUACGGGAU
rnacentral:sRNA from 1 species